rnacentral:rRNA from 1 species
UACGUAGGGGGCAAGCGUUGUCCGGAUUUAUUGGGCGUAAAGAGCGUGUAGGCGGCUUUACAGGUCCGUUGUGAAAACUCGAGGCUCAACCUCGAGACGCCGAUGGAAACCGUCUGGCUAGAGUCCGGAAGAGGAGAGUGGAAUUCCUGGUGUAGCGGUGAAAUGCGCAGAUAUCAGGAAGAACACCCGUGGCUAAGGCGGCUCUCUAGUACGGUACUGACGCUGAGACGCGAAAGCGUGGGGAGCGAACAGG